rnacentral:rRNA from 1 species
GACGAACGCUGGCGGCGUGCUUAACACAUGCAAGUCGAACGGAAAGGCCCUGCUUUUGUGGGCUGCUCGAGUGGCCAACGGGUGAGUAACACGUGAGUAACCUGUCCUUGACUGUGGGAUAACUUCAGGAAGCUGGGGCUAAUACCGGAUAGGAGCUCCUGCUUCAUGGUGGGGGCGGGAUAGUUUCGGCGGUUGGGGAUGGACUCGCGGCUUAUCAGCUUGUUGGGUGGGUAGUGUCUUACCAAGGCUUUGACGGGUAGCAGACCUGGGAGGAUAAGCGGCCACAUUGGAACUGGAAUGCGGCCCAGACCCCUCUGGGACGCAGGGGUGGAGAAUGUUGCAUAAGGGGAGGAAGCCUAGUGCAGCAAAGCCGCGUGGGGGGUGAGGGCAUGGGGGUAGUGAUCCGAUGCUGCUUGAGACGAGGCGUGAGUGACGGUAACGGGUAAAGAAGCACCGGCUAACUACGUG